GGCCUAGGAGUCUUAACCGGCGACGCUUAUAUUACGCCCGUUCGGGCUUGCCCGGACUAUGGCGAUAAACGACUGCGUAAUAAGCGGCCCGGACCCGGGGGCGGUACCCGGCGCCUCCACCAUGCGGGGGCGAAAUAGGAUCGACGGACGUGUAAAGGCAGACUCUUCGCCCGGUAUGGUAUCCGCCGUUAUCGGGCUAAUCGUACAGGUGCCAACGAUAACGAAAUGGCCCUCGCU
rnacentral:tmRNA from 1 species